rnacentral:tRNA from 1 species
GGCCUAACAGAUAAGGCACUGGCCUCCAAAGCCAGGGAUUGUGGGUAUGAGUCCUAU